GGCACUAUAGUGUAGCGGUUAUCACUUGGGAUUCUGAGGAAGGUUCCCAAAACCCAGGUUCGAUUCCUGGUAGUGCCU
rnacentral:tRNA from 2 species